CAGACUCCUACGGGAGGCAGCAGUGGGGGAUAUUGCACAAUGGGGGAAACCCUGAUGCAGCGACGCCGCGUGGGCGAAGAAGUAUUUCGGUAUGUCAAGCCCUAUCAGCAGGGAAGAAGAAAUGACGGUACCUGAGUAAGAAGCACCGGCUAAAUACGUGCCAGCAGCCGCGGUAAUACGUAUGGUGCAAGCGUUAUCCGGAUUUACUGGGUGUAAAGGGCGUGCAGCCGGAGAGACAAGUCAGAUGUGAAAUCCGCGGGCUCAACCCGUGAACUGCAUUUGAAACUGUUUCCCUUGAGUGUCGGAGAGGUAAUCGGAAUUCCUUGUGUAGCGGUGAAAUGCGUAGAUAUAAGGAAGAACACCAGUGGCGAAGGCGGAUUACUGGACGAUAACUGACGGUGAGGCGCGAAAGCGUGGGGAGCAAACAGGAUUAGAUACCCCAGUA
rnacentral:rRNA from 1 species